rnacentral:rRNA from 1 species
UAGAUUGCGCAUGGGCGCAGCCUGAUGCAGCCAUCGCCGCGUGAGUGAUGAAGGCCUUCGGGUUGUAAAGCACUUUCAGCGGGGAGGAUGGGGGUAGUACUAGUACCUUAACCCCUUGCUAUUUCCCUGCCAACAGCCGCGGUAAUACUUCGUGCCUGCGCCGCGGGAAUAGAAA